rnacentral:lncRNA from 1 species
UACAACUCUGCAACUCAGAGUUGAUAUCACAAAGCUACACUUUUUGGAGUAAGUGCUGACUCCCGCAAAAAGAAGCAAAAAGAUUUGAAAUUAAUGGAGAAACAGAGAUUGCAGGAGAAGACGGAGAGAGAAGAAGAAAUAUUUUCCAUUUUUCCUUCAUUUCUAUGACGUGUUCCCCUCUACAUAUAUCUUUUACCCCUUAACAUUACACGUGUAACUAACCAACAAAUGAAUGAUUUAAAGAAAAAACAGUCAUAACAAAAUCACAGCUGCUAUCUUUUCCACUCUCUUUGUGCCUUCUCGAAUAUUCCUUAGGUAAUGUAAUCUUUGAGGUAUGUUGGUGCCCUGCGCAUACGAGCUGGACCUUUUGUGUGCUCCUCAACCAGCUGGGCUUCUUUCUCU